CAUUAUGAUCUGAAUAUUCGUAAGCAUGCAACUCUGCUUAUCGGACAUUUCGCAAAAUAUACUACCAGCAACAAGUGAGUGGGCGAAUUGCACGCGAAGAUACAAAGGCAUCAUCAACAUAUGUGACUUGAAUGCUGAAAAGGAGCAGUUUGCUGAAGCGCAGAAAAAACUGAAGUGACUACGACCAUCCCAUGUUGAAGCUAUCUGGGAUAUCGCCAACUGGAAGGAUAUCUAUAAUCCCCUCGUUGCCGCUGCUAAGAGAUGUUUGUGUCAUCCAAGCUUUAAUUGAUCUAGAGAAAAAUGGGGAAAAUUGUAACGCACGAAUUGCAUCCUGGUAGGAAAGCUCGCGCGGUUACCGACCACAACAAACUGGUGUAUCCACUAUAUGGCUUACUUCCAUAUGAACACUCAAAUCCGCGAACAGACGCAGGCCUUAAAUCGUAGUUUUCGCGUAGUGAUUUUUUUGCGUUACAGAUUCAAAAGUGUUUGUUACUAUAAUUCGGAUUAUGUUAUCGUUUUUCGUGGUUUACUUUCACAGUUUUCUCAUUAAGGUUGUGCAAUUUGUUAUGUUUUAGAGUUUUAUAUAACUGUGAUAAAAAAUUUACAAAUUGUUGUAGUUGAAUGCCAAGAUAUCAUUACAAAAAUGGUUAAUAUGGGGCUAAUUUAAUAAUUUCACUUUUCUCUAAUAUGGUUUUUGUACCAGUGAAAUAAAAUUUAUGUAAUAGCAUUGUAAUGUAAUAUUUGUAUAUUUUACAAAAUAUUAAUGCUAAUGGAACAUCUGGGACCUAUGUUGUGGGUGCAUAAGAAAACCUAUUUUUGUUCAUUUCUUAGCAACUUUAGUUUUCUACAACAAACUUCAGGUAGGGAAUUACUAAAAUAAUGGGAAAUCAAAACAGUGAAUUCAAAUAUUCCUACAGAUAAUAAAAUAAAUUUAAAAGUUUUUGAGCAUGUCGAUGCAAUUGCAUCCCUCGUAGGUUGUAGGUGUUGUUGUAGCUUCUUAGGUUUGCUA